CCUACGGGUGGCAGCAGUGGGGAAUAUUGCACAAUGGGGGAAACCCUGAUGCAGCGACGCCGCGUGAGUGAUGAAGUAUUUCGGUAUGUAAAGCUCUAUCAGCAGGGGAGAAAAUGACGGUACCUGACUAAGAAGCACCGGCUAACUACGUGCCAGCAGCCGCGGUAAUACGGAGGGAGCAAGCGUUAUCCGGAGUUACUGGGCGUAAAGCGGGCGUAGACGGUUAGUCAAGUCAGAAGUGAAAACCCAGGGCUCAACCUUGGAACUGCCUUUGAAACUGGGUACCUGGAGUGCAGGAGAGGUAAGCGGAAUGCCUGGUGUAGCGGUGAAAUGCGUAGAUAUCAGGAGGAACACCAGUGGCGAAGGCGGCUUACUGGAACGUAACUGACGUUGAGGCUCGAAAGCGUGGGGAGCAAACAGGAUUAGAUACCCGAGUAGUC
rnacentral:rRNA from 1 species